rnacentral:rRNA from 1 species
UACAGAGACUGCAAGCGUUAUUCGGAUUCACUGGGCGUAAAGGGUGCGCAGGCGGUUGGGUGUGUCAGAUGUGAAAUCCCGAGGCUCAACCUCGGAACUGCGUCUGAAACUACUCGACUAGAGUACUGGAGAGGGUAACGGAAUUCACGGUGUAGCAGUGAAAUGCGUAGAUAUCGUGAGGAACACCAGAGGCGAAGGCGGUUACCUGGACAGUUACUGACGCUCAGGUGCGAAAGCCAGGGGAGCGAACGGG